CGUACUCAGUUCGGAUUGCAGGCUGCAACCCGCCCUGCAUGAAGCCGGAAUCGCUAGUAAUCGCAGAUCAGCAUGCUGCGGUGAAUACGUUCCCGGGUCUUGUACACACCGCCCGUCACACCAUGGGAGUCGAUAACGCCCGAAGUCAGUGACCCAACCGAAAGGAGGGAGCUGCCGAAGGCGGGAUUGAUAACUGGGGUGAAGUCGUAACAAGGUACC
rnacentral:rRNA from 1 species